UGGGGAAUCUUGGACAAUGGGCGCAAGCCUGAUCCAGCCAUGCCGCGUGAGUGAUGAAGGCCUUAGGGUUGUAAAGCUCUUUUGGCGGGGACGAUAAUGACGGUACCCGCAGAAUAAGUCCCGGCUAACUUCGUGCCAGCAGCCGCGGUAAUACGAAGGGGACUAGCGUUGUUCGGAAUCACUGGGCGUAAAGCGCACGUAGGCGGAUUUGUAAGUCAGGGGUGAAAUCCCGGGGCUCAACCUCGGAACUGCCUUUGAUACUGCGGAUCUCGAGUCCGAUAGAGGUGGGUGGAAUUCCUAGUGUAGAGGUGAAAUUCGUAGAUAUUAGGAAGAACACCGGUGGCGAAGGCGGCCCACUGGAUCGGUACUGACGCUGAGGUGCGAAAGCGUGGGGAGCAAACAGGAUUAGAUACCCCCGUAGUCCCUGAGCGGGCUGGCAAGGCGCAU
rnacentral:rRNA from 1 species